AGCAGCAGCCGCGGGAAUACGGAGGGAGCUAGCGUUGUUCGGAAUUACUGGGCGUAAAGCGCGCGUAGGCGGUUACUCAAGUCAGAGGUGAAAGCCCGGGGCUCAACCCCGGAACUGCCUUUGAAACUAGGUGACUAGAAUCUUGGAGAGGUCAGUGGAAUUCCGAGUGUAGAGGUAAAAUUCGUAGAUAUUCGGAAGAACACCAGUGGCGAAGGCGACUGACUGGACAAGUAUUGACGCUGAGGUGCGAAAGCGUGGGGAGCAAACAGGAUUAGAGACCCCUGUAGUCCCUGUCUCUUAUAC
rnacentral:rRNA from 1 species